UACGAAGGGGGCUAGCGUUGCUCGGAAUUACUGGGCGUAAAGCGUGCGCAGGCGGUGAUGUAAGACCGAUGUGAAAUCCCCGGGCUUAACCUGGGAACUGCAUUGGUGACUGCAUUGCUCGAGUAUGGCAGAGGGGGGUGGAAUUCCACGUGUAGCAGUGAAAUGCGUAGAGAUGUGGAGGAACACCGAUGGCGAAGGCAGCCCCCUGGGCCAAUACUGACGCUCAUGCACGAAAGCGUGGGGAGCAAACAGG
rnacentral:rRNA from 1 species